CGGCCCAUACGUCCUUUUUACCGAAAACUGACAAUGAAGUCAUGAUAGGAGUGAAAAACUUAACCCCAGAAGGUCUAAAGCGCCGGGCAAAUUGCGUGGCUUGAUCGAGAAGUUCUGCAAUGGUUUUAUUAUCUUUUGCAAAUUAA